AAGUGCUGUAAGUGUGGGCUCAUCAUCAGCAGUGGGAGCUGGGGUUAAACCUUUAAAAGAGCAUGUGUGUGUAGAUUUUUCACCUGGUGGCUGAAGGUGAGAAUUUGUGGCUGUGGCUUCUGUUCGUUGUCAGGGGACGGCGUGAGAAGAGGCGGAGUGUGGAAAGCCAGAAGGCGUGUGCCUCGAAGGAGCACUCGUGCCUGCAGGAUUUGACCGCUCAACGCCACGGGAGCAAAUGAGGCCCCCCAGGGGCCUGGACAGGCACGGUCACGGGAUGGCCCGCUCCCCAGCGAGCCCAGGGCAGCCUCAGACACCCAGCUCCACACGGCCUCCCAACGGCUCCUGCCAGCCCACCGACGUGCCGUGGCAGGAGCACACCAGCCCCUUCCCCACUCUACCUGGAGACACGGGGGGGUCCCGGGCGCUCCGGAGCGCUGCAGCGCGACAUGGGCCACAACUAAGGCAGGCAUGUGAAUCCCCUUAAACUCCUCACUUGAUGCCUCAUACGCUGUCACUCUUUGCAAAGCCAGUCGUGAAGCUUUUUUGUCCAAAGCAAUUCAUUAUAAACUCCAUAUUCUUUAAAAACUUCGAUGCUGUGACAGUGCAAACAGCAUUCAUUUUAUUGCUCAACUUCGGCAUGGGCACAUACAUAGUUAAUUUUUAAAAACCAUUUAUACAGAUGUUAUUGAUAAAGCUCAUGUAACAACGGAGUGAAAAUACAAAGAAUAUCAAAGCUAAAACACUCUGUAAUAAAUACAAGUACAAUGAAAACGAUAAAACUUUGUUUUUAAAGUCAGUUUGAGAGAAGGAAGAAUAUUACAUUAAGUGGACUAAUUACAUCUAGAAACAAAACAACUCAGCGCUUGGUACAAUCGUCACCCUCACGUAAGAGCGCUCGAUACCACAAAUGGCACCUGUCGGCCGUGUGCUGCAGCUGAACAAAACAGGCAGAAAAGAGCUGCUCUAUCAAACCGUAACGACGACCGGAACAAUCUCUAACUCCCAACAGUGCAACCAGUUCAAUGCACUGGAAGGUCAAAGCAGACUUAGUGUUGUAAAAGAAAGCAAAUUACCUUGGAUUUAAAACGAAAGGAAAUCUGUGCUCUGAACUGUAGGGGGGUAAAAAAAAAAAAAAAAAAAAAAAAAAAAAAAAAAAAGAC